AGGGGUAUAGCUCAGUUGGUAGAGCGGCGGUCUCCAAAACCGCAGGCCACAGGUUCGAGCCCUGUUGCCCCUG
rfam:Aurantimonas sp. 22II-16-19i contig10, whole genome shotgun sequence.